GUGUGUGUGUGUGUAUGUGUGUGUGUGUGUGUGAACAGACCAUAAGAUUCCCAUCUGGAUCCCAUUCUCCUUAUAUGGGACCAAGAUGCUGGACAACGACAGUCUGAAGGUCUCUGCUGUGGUGAGGGACAAGCAGCACCCAGGAGAGGUGUACUUCACAGACGAGGACAUCACCCUGCAGAGCCUCAAGCUCAACAUUGAAACACAGGAGAGCUGUGAGCAGUACAGUGAGGUGACGGCACUCAUCACUUUUCACAACCGUUUGUCCGUCACACUCAAACACUGCUCCAUCUCUCUGAAGGGCAGCGGGCUGCUGUUUGGCACAAUGGAGACCAAAGUUUCAGACGUCGACCCAGGCUACCAUCUGUGUGUAGCAAUGCAUAUCAGACCUUACCGAGCCGGCUUGCGGAAGUUGGUGGCAUAUUUUGACUGCAGCGCCUUCAGGGACAUCAAAGCAAGCUGCACCCUGAACAUCAAACCACAGCAGGAUGAUAGAUGGUGCGGAGUCCCCAACGAGCCAUUGUGA
rnacentral:lncRNA from 1 species